UGCUCUAGUGGCGCAGUUAGGUAGCGCGCAGUGCUUAUAACACUUAGGUCGUGAGUUCGAUCCUCACCUAGAGCAU
rnacentral:tRNA from 1 species